GCUAAGUACGUGUAGGUGAGCGAGGUAAUGGGGAGGGUGAUAGCGUUGUUUGGAAUCAUUGGGCUGAGAGCGCGGGUAGGUGGUUAUUUAAGUGGAGUGUGAAAUCCCUGGGAUCAACCGAGGAAGUGCAUUCGAAACUGAAUAGCUAGAAGAUGGUAGAGGAAGGUGGAAUUCCUAGUGUAGAGGUGAAAUUCGUAGAUAUUAGGAGGAAUACCGGUGGCGAAGGCGGCCUUCUGGGCCAUUCUUGACACUGAGACGCGAAAGCGUGGGGAGCAAACAGGAUUAGAUACCCCGGUAGUC
rnacentral:rRNA from 1 species